AUGGAGUACGAAAUUAGUACUGGACAUAAUGCUCUGGAGCGCAUGUUAAUUGAUGGAAGUGCGGAGCCAAUGGAUCUGCCGUUAUCACUUUUAGAAGACAUCACAAAUUGUUUCUCUGACGAUCAGCAAAUCGGCAGUGGCGGGUUUGCAGUGGUCUAUAAGGGAAUGGUCGGAAAUGAGAUAAUUGCUGUGAAGAGGCUAUCCAGGAAUAUGCAUGAGAGUAAAUUCCACAAAGAGGUCGAGUGCUUGAUGAAGGCCAAGCACAAAAACAUAGUGCGUUUUCUAGGAUAUUGUUCUGACACGCAAGGGAAAAUUAUGGACUAUGAGGGGAAGAUGGUCAUGGCGGAUAUACGAAAUUGGUUGCUCUGUUUUGAGUAUGUACCUAACGGCAGUCUUGAUAAGUAUAUUACUGAUGCAUCUCAUGGACUUGAAUGGAGGGAGCGUUUUGAGAUAAUUAAGGGAACAUGUGACGGUCUAUGUCAUCUUCAUGAGAAGCGCAUUUUGCACUUAGAUUUGAAACCCGCUAAUAUUCUAAUAGAUGAUCACAUGGUACCCAAAAUUGCUGAUUUUGGCCUUACAAGGUGCCUCGAGAAAGAGCAAACCCACGUUUUUACUUCAAACCUUUGUGGAUCACUCGGAUAUUUGGCACCUGAGUUCUAUAGUGGGCAAGUCACAUUUGCAUCGGACAUAUAUAGUCUUGGCGUUAUAAUCCUGGAGAUAAUGACUGGACAAAAGGGUUACUCCGAAGAUAAGAAUGGGCUGGCGAGGCCAACAAUACGUCCGACGAUGUGCACAGAGGAUGAGGCGAGAGAGCAGCUCUGUGGAUGGCUUCCGGGAGAAUGCACCUCUUUAUUUUAUAUUUGGUAG
rnacentral:rRNA from 1 species